CCCUCAGUCAACAUUAUCAAUCACAUACAAACAAGCAAAACGAUAAUUUACGCCAAACAGACAACAUAUAGCAUCAACAUCCCGGUCAUUCAAUCCAUAAUCAAUAAAACAGUAAAAUAUGCACACGCAACUAUAAAAUGAAAGAACCUCAUGCUGCAUUUAAAAUUGUAAAACAGGCCAAAUAACAGUUAACCGACAAACACACUAGACUCGGGCUCCAUUAGCGACCUUAAGCAAUUUCACACAUUCGUUGAUUCAUGAAAUACCGUUU
rnacentral:lncRNA from 1 species